rnacentral:tRNA from 1 species
AUCUAGGUAGCUUAUUAAUUAGAGUAUGGCAUUGAAGAUGCUAAGGAGAUAUAUAUAUUUCUAGAUA